GACGAACCGUGCGAACGUUAUUCGGAAUCACUGGGCUUAAAGCGCGUGUAGGCGGGCCGGCACGUCGGUCGCUGAAAUCCCCCGGCUCAACCGGGGAAGGGGCGCCGAUACGACCGGCCUGGAGGGACGUAGGGGGGGCCGGAACUUCCGGUGGAGCGGUGAAAUGCGUAGAUAUCGGGAGGAACGCCUGUGGCGAAAGCGGCUCACUGGACCACAACUGACGCUGAUGCGCGAAAGCUAGGGGAGCAAACAGG
rnacentral:rRNA from 1 species